rnacentral:rRNA from 1 species
GAUGAACGCUAGCGGCAGGCUUAACACAUGCAAGUCGAGGGGUAGAGGAAGCUUGCUUCCUUGAGACCGGCGCACGGGUGCGUAACGCGUAUGCAAUCUACCUUAUACAGGGGAUAGCCCAGAGAAAUUUGGAUUAAUACCCCAUAGUAUAAUUGAAUGGCAUCAUUUAAUUAUUAAAGUUCCAACGGUAUAAGAUGAGCAUGCGUCCCAUUAGCUAGUUGGUGUGGUAACGGCACACCAAGGCGACGAUGGGUAGGGGUCCUGAGAGGGAGAUCCCCCACACUGGUACUGAGACACGGACCAGACUCCUACGGGAGGCAGCAGUGAGGAAUAUUGGUCAAUGGGCGCAAGCCUGAACCAGCCAUGCCGCGUGCAGGAUGACGGUCCUAUGGAUUGUAAACUGCUUUGUACAGGAAGAAACACUCCCUCGUGAGGGAGCUUGACGGUACUGUAAGAAUAAGGAUCGGCUAACUCCGUGCCAGCAGCCGCGGUAAU